CUACGGGGGGCAGCAGUGGGGAAUAUUGGACAAUGGGGGAAACCCUGAUCCAGCAAUGCCGCGUGUGUGAAGAAGGCCUGCGGGUUGUAAAGCACUUUCGGUUGGGAGGACUGCUUCUAGCACUAAUAUUGUUGGAAGUUGACGUUACCUUCAGAAGAAGCACCGGCUAACUCCGUGCCAGCAGCCGCGGUAAUACGGAGGGUGCAUGCGUUAAUCGGAAUUACUGGGCGUAAAGCGCGCGUAGGCGGCUAGAUCAGUCGGGUGUGAAAGCCCCGGGCUUAACCUGGGAACUGCAUCCGAUACUGUCUAGCUUGAGUACAGGAGAGGAGAGUGGAAUUCCACAUGUAGCGGUGAAAUGCGUAGAUAUGUGGAGGAACACCAAUGGCGAAGGCAACUCUCUGGCCUGAUACUGACGCUGAGGUGCGAAAGCGUGGGGAGCAAACAGGAUUAGAUACCCUAGUAGUC
rnacentral:rRNA from 1 species